CCUACGGGCGGCAGCAGUGAGGAAUAUUGGUCAAUGGGCGAGAGCCUGAACCAGCCAAGUCGCGUGAGGGAGUACUGCCCUAUGGGUUGUAAACCUCUUUUGUCGGGGAGCAAAAGCCGGACGUGUCCGGCUGUGAGAGUACCCGAAGAAAAAGCAUCGGCUAACUCCGUGCCAGCAGCCGCGGUAAUACGGAGGAUGCGAGUGUUAUCCGGAUUUAUUGGGUUUAAAGGGUGCGCAGGCGGAUUUUUAAGUCAGCGGUAAAAUCGUGGGGCUCAACCCCAUCCAGCCGUUGAAACUGGGGAUCUAGAGUGUGCGAGAGGUAUGCGGAAUGCGUGGUGUAGCGGUGAAAUGCAUAGAUAUCACGCAGAACCCCGAUUGCGAAGGCAGCAUACCGGUGCACAACUGACGCUCAGGCACGAAAGCGUGGGUAUCGAACAGGAUUAGAUACCCCUGUAGUC
rnacentral:rRNA from 1 species